rnacentral:rRNA from 1 species
CUACGUGCCAGCAGCCGCGGUAAUACGUAGGGCGCGAGCGUUGUCCGGAAUUAUUGGGCGUAAAGAGCUUGUAGGCGGUUUGUCGCGUCUGCUGUGAAAGGCCGGGGCUUAACCCCGUGUAUUGCAGUGGGUACGGGCAGACUAGAGUGCAGUAGGGGAGACUGGAACUCCUGGUGUAGCGGUGGAAUGCGCAGAUAUCAGGAAGAACACCGAUGGCGAAGGCAGGUCUCUGGGCUGUAACUGACGCUGAGAAGCGAAAGCAUGGGGAGCGAACAGGAUUAGAUACCCUGGUAGUCCAUGCCGUAAACGUUGGGCACUAGGUGUGGGGGACAUUCCACGUUUUCCGCGCCGUAGCUAACGCAUUAAGUGCCCCGCCUGGGGAGUACGGCCGCAAGGCUAAAACUCAAAGAAAUUGACGGGGGCCCGCACAAGCGGCGGAGCAUGCGGAUUAAUUCGAUGCAACGCGAAGAACCUUACCAAGGCUUGACAUGC